rnacentral:rRNA from 1 species
UACGUAGGGUGCAAGCGUUGUCCGGAAUUAUUGGGCGUAAAGAGCUCGUAGGCGGUUCGAUAAGUCGGAUGUGAAAUCUCCACGCUCAACGUGGAGGGGCCAUUCGAUACUGUCGUGACUCGAGUCCGGUAGGGGAGUGUGGAAUUCCCGGUGUAGCGGUGAAAUGCGCAGAUAUCAGGAGGAACACCGAUGGCGAAGGCAGGUCUCUGGGCCGAUACUGACGCUGAGGAGCGAAAGCGUGGGGAGCGAACAGG